CAAGCAGCUUCUCCCGUAGUCCAGUCUGCAAGAACCAAUUAAUCUCCUUCUCCUUCUUAGGCCCUAAUAGUGUUCUAACAGCCAAGGUUCUCAGGACACUCAAUGUAGGUGUUCCAUUUUCCCAAAGCCAGACCCCUUCCUCUGCGAACAAGUCAUUCAAUAUGCAAAGCAGACUACAGAUUUCCUUGGGACCCAACGCCAGAACAGAAGUUGCAUGAAG
rnacentral:misc_RNA from 1 species